AGUGAACGCUGGCGGUAGGCCUAACACAUGCAAGUCGAACGGCAGCACCGUAAGAGCUUGCUCUUACGGGUGGCGAGUGGCGGACGGGUGAGGAAUACAUCGGAAUCUACUUUUUCGUGGGGGAUAACGUAGGGAAACUUACGCUAAUACCGCAUACGACCUACGGGUGAAAGCAGGGGAUCUUCGGACCUUGCGCGAUUGAAUGAGCCGAUGUCGGAUUAGCUAGUUGGCGGGGUAAAGGCCCACCAAGGCGACGAUCCGUAGCUGGUCUGAGAGGAUGGUCAGCCACACUGGAACUGAGACACGGUCCAGACUCCUACGGGAGGCAGCAGUGGGGAAUAUUGGACGAUGGGCGCAAGCCUGAUACAGCCAUACCGCGUGGGUGAAGAAGGCCUUCGGGUUGUAAAGCCCUUUUGUUGGGAAAGAAGAGCAGCAGGUUAAUACCCCGCUGUUCUGACGGUACCCAAAGAAUAAGCACCGGCUAACUUCGUG
rnacentral:rRNA from 1 species